GACGAACGCUGGCGGCGUGCUUAACACAUGCAAGUCGAACGGAAAGGCCCUGCUUGCAGGGUAUUCGAGUGGCGAACGGGUGAGUAACACGUGGGUGAUCUGCCCUGCACUUCGGGAUAAGCCUGGGAAACUGGGUCUAAUACCGGAUAGGAGCCAUUUUUAGUGUGAUGGUUGGAAAGUUUUUUCGGUGUAGGAUGAGCUCGCGGCCUAUCAGCUUGUUGGUGGGGUAAUGGCCUACCAAGGCGGCGACGGGUAGCCGGCCUGAGAGGGUGGACGGCCACAUUGGGACUGAGAUACGGCCCAGACUCCUACGGGAGGCAGCAGUGGGGAAUAUUGCACAAUGGGCGCAAGCCUGAUGCAGCGACGCCGCGUGGGGGAUGACGGCCUUCGGGUUGAAAACUCCUUUCGCUAGGGACGAAGCUUUUUGUGACGGUACCUAGAUAAGAAGCACCGGCUAACUACGUG
rnacentral:rRNA from 1 species